rnacentral:rRNA from 1 species
UACAGAGGGUGCGAGCGUUGUCCGGAGUUAUUGGGCGUAAAGCGCGCGCAGGCGGCUUGGCGCGCCCGACGUGAAAGCCCCCGGCUUAAUCGGGGAGAGUCGUCGGGGACGGCCGGGCUUGAGGGCGGGAGAGGGUGGUGGAAUUCCCGGUGUAGUGGUGAAAUGCGUAGAGAUCGGGAGGAACACCUGUGGCGAAGGCGGCCACCUGGGCCGACCCUGACGCUGAGGCGCGAAGGCGUGGGGAGCGAACGGG